GUCCGAGACACGUUUUGCCUUAUCUCCAAAAGGCUUUCUCAAGCUUUCUCAAAAGCCUUUUGGAGAUAAGGCAAAACGCAUCUCGGAC
rnacentral:miRNA from 1 species